UACUGUCGACACACAGCUGUGGCAGUAGGCAUAUGUAGAUGGCAUCUCCAUUCACUGAGCUGGAGGUGCUGACGAUCGUGUUCUCUCUCCUGGUUUUCGCCCUCUUCACACUCACUGGGAUGCUCAAUGAGGAAUGUCCACACUCGAAUGAGACUAACACACAACCACAAAGUGAGGACCAUGUUGUUUGACCCCAGAUGAAGUGACAAGUCAUGACAAAGAAUGAAAAACCUCUGCCGACCACAGCAAACCCUUUCUUCCUGUUUGCUGCCUUAUGAGGACGUCAAACCCUGAGGACUGUGUGUCAGAUCCAGUGUUAUUUGCUUCCAGGAUGAGGCACAAAGGAGUGGCCUAGAUGGGACACUGUCAAAAAAAAAAUCAAUAAAUAAACGCCUGCUUUAACAAACUGUGACGAGACAGUAUGUCACGCCUGCUUUCUUUCUUCUUUGAGACAGAGUGUAUGUGUCGAUACACACAAAUUCUUUUAUUUUGAUCUUCAGAUGAAAAAACCUUCUGUGAUUCUGCUUCUGUUGUGUAGAUGGAACUGCCAUUCACUGGCUUUGAACUGACCUUCAUCAUCGUUGCCUUCAUCAUCUUCUCCCUCUUCAGCCUAGCUUCAGUCUGCAUCCAGCCACAAGGGGCUCAGCCAGAAAAAGAUGACUAUGAAGCAAAGAAGUCAAUACUGUCACAUCACAGAAAGCAAAGAGUGAUCACCAAGCAAGCUGGAGAGAAGCCAUAAAGUAAAAAUCUGACGAGUGCUCAUUGUACUAUGAAGUUCUCUGAAGAAUGAAACAGCGAGACAACACAAAAUGAACUGAAAAUUCAACAUACUGCUUUCCCAUCCAGUUUGUUUGAUAUUAGAGCAGGUCAUUAUGGCUCAAAACGCUGAGGCAAAGUCCAUAAUACUGAGUUCACCCAAUAAUAAGGCAACAAUAAACUUCCCCAGCAAAUGAUGAUACAAAUAUGGAAAAGGUCACAUUUCACAACUGUUACAUAUUGCUAUAAUUAAAUCAGAGUAGAGGGUAUGAAUUAACUAA